CAGAAACUCAGAGCAUCACAAUCAUCAUAACUCAGAGAACAGAAGAGCAUCAACAGAACUGAUCUGACUUAGUAAACAUGGACAGACACUUGGUUCUGAUAUUAAACAUGAUUUCAGGUGUGAUGGCUGCAGACCAGAUUUGGCCAAAUAAGGAUGCAAAUGUAAUCAGUACAGAAGGAGAGUCUGUGAGAUUGAGUUGUUCAUAUGAUACAAGCAGCAGAUAUGUUACACUUUACUGGUACAGACAGUAUCUUAAUGGAGAACUUCAGUAUUUAAUGUGGAAAGAUGCUCGGGCAUAUAGUGGUACUGGGACCCCAGCUGAACCUCGCUUUCAGGCGACUACAUCAGAAACAUCCACUGACCUCACUAUUACUGGUGUAACUCUGUCAGAUUCAGCUCUCUAUUAUUGUGCUCUAAGAGUAGAAGCCCAGUGAUACAAAGUCUAUGUGAAGCUGUACAAAAACUCAAAUUCAUUUUUCACUUUGAUCUCAAGCCACACCAAACCACAAUCUAUAAUUCACACAAUUUAAUUACACUUGUGGAAACACCUGUGUGAGAAGUUGGAUUUUUUUUUUGAUUUU